rnacentral:rRNA from 1 species
UGGAUGAUGUGGUUAAUUCGAUGCAACGCGAAAACCUUACCCACCUUGACAUGGACAGGAAGGUCUCAGAGAUGGGAUUGUGCCCGAAAGGGAACCUGCACACAGGUGCUGCAUGGCUGUCGUCAGCUCGUGUCGUGAGAUGUUGGGUUAAGUCCCCGCAACGAGCGCAACCCUUGCCAUUAGUUGCUACGAAAGGGCACUCUAAUGGGACUGCCGGUGACAAACCGGAGGAAGGUGGGGAUGACGUCAAGUCCUCAUGGCCCUUAUAGGUGGGGCUACACACGUCAUACAAUGGCUGGUACAGAGGGUUGCCAACCCGCGAGGGGGAGCCAAUCCCACAAAGCCAGUCGUAGUCCGGAUCGCAGUCUGCAACUCGACUGCGUGAAGUCGGAAUCGCUAGUAAUCGCGGAUCAGAAUGUCGCGGUGAAUACGUUCCCGGGU